GGGCUGAUGUAGCUGGAUAAAUAUAUAUUGCUUGGGAGAUUAGUGGUAAUCGUUAAGACUUUAACGCUAGUAAAUUGUUUAGAUGUUUUUGAAAUACCACUCUUAUUAAAAUAACCAACUAACAGUUUUUCAGACAGUGUAUGGUUGGUAAUUUGGCUGGGGCGGUCACCUCCUAAAGAGUAACGGAGGUGUACAAGUAAAGCUCA
rnacentral:ncRNA from 1 species